UAAGCUGGCGGCGUGCCUAACACAUGCAAGUCGUACGUUCUCUGGUGCUUCGGCACCGGAGGGAGUGGCGGACGGGUGAGUAACACAUGGGUGACCUACCCUUUGGUGAGGAAUACCGGCGAGAAAUCGCCGACAAGACCGCAUAGGCUCUCGCAGGAGAGCAAAGCCUCUGACUCGCAAGAGCCGGAGGUGCCAGAGGAUGGGCCUGUGGCCGAUUAGCUGGUUGGUGGGGUAAGGGCUCACCAAGGCGACGAUCGGUAGCUGGUCUGAGAGGACGAUCAGCCACACUGGGAUUGAGAACGGCCCAGACUCCUACGGGGGGCAGCAGUGAGGAAUUUUCCGCAAUGGAGGCAACUCUGACGGAGCAACGCCGCGUGCAGGACGACGCGUUUCGGCGUGUAAACUGCUUUUCUGGGGGACGAGGACGGACGGUACCCCAGGAAGAAGCCCCGGCUAACUACGUGCCAGCAGCCGCGGUAAUACGUAGGGGGCGAGCGUUGUCCGGAGUUACUGGGCGUAAAGGGCACGCA
rnacentral:rRNA from 1 species